rnacentral:rRNA from 1 species
AUUGAACGCUGGCGGCAGGCCUAACACAUGCAAGUCGAGCGAGCGGCGGACGGGUGAGUAAUGUAUGGGGACUGCCCGAUAGAGGGGGAUAACUACUGGAAACGGUGGCUAAUACCGCAUACUAUCGGAUAACCCAUAUGGGAUUAGCUAGUAGGUGGGGUAAAGGCUCACCUAGGCGACGAUCUCUAGCUGGUCUGAGAGGAUGAUCAGCCAAACGGGGACUGAGAAAAGGCCCAGACUCCUACGGAGGGAGGAGGGGGGAAUAUUGCACAAGGGGCGCAAGCCUGAUGGAGCAAUGCCGGGUGAAUGAAGAAGGCCUUAGGGUUGUAAAGUAAUUUUAGCGGGGAGGCGUUACCCGCAGAAGAAGCAACGGCUAACUCCGUGCCAGCAGCCGCGGUAAUAC